CGCCCGUCGCUCCUACCGAUUGGGUGUGCUGGUGAAAUGUUCGGAUUGGUAGCCUUUCCGUAAGGGAGGCUCCUGAGAAGUUCACUGAACCCUCUCAUCUAGAGGAAGGAGAAGUCGUAACAAGGUCUCC
rnacentral:rRNA from 1 species